UACGUAGGGGGCGAGCGUUGUCCGGAUUCAUUGGGCGUAAAGAGCGUGUAGGCGGCCAGGUAGGUCGGUUGUGAAAACUGGAGGCUCAACCUUCAGAGGUCGACCGAAACCAUCUGGCUAGAGUCCGGGAGAGGAGAGUGGAAUUCCUGGUGUAGCGGUGAAAUGCGCAGAUAUCAGGAAGAACACCCGUGGCGAAAGCGGCUCUCUAGAACGGUACUGACGCUGAGACGCGAAAGCGUGGGGAGCGAACAGG
rnacentral:rRNA from 1 species